rnacentral:rRNA from 1 species
AGAGUUUGAUCAUGGCUCAGGAUAAACGCUGGCGGCGUGCCUAACACAUGCAAGUCGAACGCUCUUGGGAGCAAUCCCAAGGGAGUGGCGGACGGGUGAGUAACACGUGGGUACCUACCCUGUGGUGAGGAAUACCGGCGAGAAAUCGCCGACAAUACUGCAUACGUUUGCGAUGCAAACAAAGCUCGGGAAACCGGGUGCCAUAGGAAGGGCCUGCGGCCGAUUAGCUAGUUGGGGGGGUAAAAGCCUCCCAAGGCGACGAUCGGUAGCUGGUCUGAGAGGACGAUCAGCCACACUGGGAUUGAGAACGGCCCAGACUCCUACGGGGGGCAGCAGUGAGGAAUUUUCGUCAAUGGGGGCGACCCUGAACGAGCAACGCCGCGUGCAGGAUGAAGGUUUUCGGAUCGUAAACUGCUUUUCUCUGGGACGAGAACGGACGGUACCAGAGGAAGAAGCCCCGGCUAACUACGUGCCAGCAGCCGCGGUAAUACGUAGGGGGCAAGCGUUGUCCGGAUUUAUUGGGCGUAAAGCGCACGCAGGCGGUCUGCCAAGUUCGGAGUGACAGUUUCCGGCUUAACCGGAAAAGGUCUUCGAAAACUGGCGGACUUGAGGACUUGAGGGGGAGACGGAAUUCCGGGUGGAGCGGUGAAAUGCGUAGAGAUCCGGAGGAACACCGAAAGCGAAGGCAGUCUCCUGGCAAGUUCCUGACGCUCAGGUGCGAAAGCUAGGGGAGCGAACAGGAUUAGAUACCCUGGUAGUCCUAGCCGUAAACGAUGGCCACUAGGCGUGGGGGGGAUCGACCCCUUCCGUGCCGCAGCUUACGCAAUAAGUGGUCCGCCUGGGGAGUACGGUCGCAAGAUUAAAACUCAAGGAAUUGACGGGGACCCGCACAAGCAGCGGAGCGUGUGUUUAAUUCGAUGCAACGCGAAGACCCUUACCAGGGG